UAGCUUGGCAGCCGGUCGGGUAGGGUGGGCUCGCGUCCGGGUGGAUUCGGGUUGCGUCCGAAGACCGUGUUUGUUUCGGCGUCUGUAGAAAAUCACCUUCGGCCUCUACCGUGGCCACGGGUGAGAUCCGGCGCCUAAAGCCAGCGGGGCCUCAGCUCACCGCCCGCCCGCAGUGCGCGCAGGACCCCGGAUGCCCCGAGCUGGAAGUCGCGACCGUCGGAACCGCAGGUGUGUGGGGGGGAUCCCGCCUCGCUUCAAUGAGGCUGCGGGUCGUGGGGUCCGGGAGGUGGCACAGUGCAUCGGACACUGGCACGGGCAUGAAGUUCCGAGUUCAGUCCCCGGCAGCACGUGUACCAGAGUGUCUGGUUCUCUCUCUGCUAUGAUUCUAAUAAACUAAAUAAAGCUGCUGAUCGAUCGA